rnacentral:lncRNA from 1 species
UAAUAUAUUAUAUUAUAUUAUUAUAUUAUUAUUAUAUAUAUAUGACAAAGAAAGAAAGAAAAGAAACAGAGAGCAAAACAAAACAGAGAAGGGAGAAAGAAAGAAACAGAGAGCAAAACGAAACAGAGAAGGAAGGAAGGAAAGAAAGAAAGAAAAGAAAAGAAAAAGGGAAAUUUGGGGUUUUAAGGUUCAAAGUAAUUUGGUAAGUCAAUUUAAUCCCAUUUUCUCUUAGUUUUGAUAUUUUUUUUGAAAUCCUAGAACAAAAUACUACUUGAUUAAGUUGAAAUUUUGGAAGUUAGUAGAUUAUUAAGCAUGGUUCAUGUUGAAUAAAUUGUUAAAUUAGGGAUGUAUUUGAUAGAAAUUUUGAUUGGAAUUGAAUAAAGGAUUGAAUUGUAAACUAAACUAUAAGUUUUGAAUUUUAGGGAUUAAUUUGAAAUAAAUUCGGAAUUAUGAAAACAUGAUAAAAAUUAAAUAGUUAAAUAUGAGUUUAGCAAGAAAUUGGGUAGAAUAAGGGUAUGAAUUGAGAAAGAAAAAUAUAUAGGUUUAGUUAGGGGUUAAAUUGAUUUAAUUUCAAGUUAGAAGUUAGUAAAGAACGUAAUUGUAAAAUAAAAUAUAAGUUUUGAAUCGAUAGGGAUUAAAUUGAAAGAAUCCCGAAAUUAGGGAUUUAUGGUGAAAUUGAGGAAUUAAAUUGACUUUAUAGUAAGAAUUAAGAGAGAAUAUAGAGUUAGAAUGCAAAAAUAAAAUUAGUAUUGAUAAGGGAUUAAAUUAGAAUUUGAUGUUGCCAUAGAAGGGAAAAAUGUUCAGAAUGUUAUAAAACAUAAGAAUAAGAGAUGAAGUUUAAUUUCCGAGCCUUGGGGCAAAAAUGUAAUUAUGUAAAAGUUUAGGGGCAAAAUUGUAAUUUUGAAAAAGUUAGAGUCGAGGGCUAUUUUGAUGAAUGUGAUUAUUAAAUAAGUUAAAUUUACUAUUUUAGAUCAAGAAGUACGAAACUCGAGGUUAGACAAAGGGAAGAAUAAAGUUGAAGACUAAGUUGGUGAAUUUGGCUAUAAUUGGUACCGAGGUAAGUUUACGGUAAAUAAAUGCAAUAUUUCAAUAUUUAUUAUUAAUUCUGUUAAUUUCCAGCAAUUAUGAAUUUAUUUUAUGAAUUUAUUUGAUGAUGAUCCAAGCAUAAAAUGAUAAAGAAUUAAAAUUUAAAAGUCCCGUUGAUACAUAAGGAUGGUACUGGAUACGAAUGUCAUGACAUUUGGGUAAAGAGAUCCCAUGUAAGACCAUGUCUGGGACAUGGCAUUGGCAUCCUUAAGAUCAUGAGAGGUCCCCUGUAAGACC